AGGACGAACGCUGGCGGCGUGCCUAACACAUGCAAGUCGAACGCGCUCCAUUCGGUAGCAAUACUGAUGAAGAGCGAGUGGCGAACGGGUGAGUAGCACGUGAGCAACCUGCCCCGAAGACUGGGACAACACCGGGAAACCGGUGCUAAUACCGGAUAUCCCUAUCGGACCGCAUGAUCUGAUAAGGAAAUGGAUUCCGCUUCGGGAGGGGCUCGCGGCCUAUCAGCUAGUUGGUGAGGUAACGGCCCACCAAGGCAUCGACGGGUAGCUGGUCUGAGAGGACGAUCAGCCACACUGGGACUGAGACACGGCCCAGACUCCUACGGGAGGCAGCAGUGGGGAAUCUUGCGCAAUGGGCGAAAGCCUGACGCAGCAACGCCGCGUGGAGGACGAAGGCUUUCUGAGUUGUAAACUCCUUUCAGCAGGGACGAUAGUGACGGUACCUGCAGAGGAAGCACCGGCAACUACGUGCCAGCAGCCGUA
rnacentral:rRNA from 1 species